AAUAUACCAUCCUCAGGGAUUCGAAUUUAAUUGAUCCAAGUAAUUAUGUUGUAUAACUGAAGUUAAAAAAAAAGUAAACUAGGUGAUUUUUAAGAUGCCUUCCAGUUCUAAGAUAAUUCUGAUUUAAUAACUCUACCAUUUUUUAAUUCUUCUGUUAACUUACACAUAUACGACAUACAUAAAAACAUAUACACUCCUUUUUAUUCCACAUUUUAAUGACAUCUUUAUUACAUAUUAGAUGUUCAUGUAGGAGAGAGACUGAAUAACUUUAAAAUACUCUUAUGAGUUAUUACUGUCAUGCAAAAAUGUUCAGGAGUGUAAUUAAGUCUUUUAAAAUAUGUAGGCCCAGUUGCUAAUAACAACAGCCCAGUUGCUAAUUAAACCAAGUAAUGUGUUAGGGGUUUACCUAUCCAUUCCUUCAUUAUUUCAAGUAAUAUUUAUUGUUGGGUGCUUACUAUCUAUCAGCCCCUUUGCUAGUUACUGGUGAUGCUGCAAUACAUGAGAAACAUAGUCCAAGCCCACGUGGAAAGAUAAACAUUGUGUAAAAUAUUACCAAUGAGAUUAGGAUCACAAUGGCAUACAGAGAGCUGCAAGAAUGCAUAAAGGGAGCCUAACCUACUCUGCAAAGAAAAAAGCUUAUAGAAUGGAGUGAGCAUUAAGGUGAAACCUAAUCAAUUAAUUGGACCUAAGUGCUUGUGUGGGGGCAGAGUGAACAGCAUGUUGGAAGGGACUGAGGUGGAAAGAGCUGGUAGUCUACUGGGAACAGAAGGAGGACCAAGGAGGCUGAAACUGGUCAUCAAGAAGGAAACCUGACCUUGUAACCUUGGGAUAAAUUCUACUUUGCUAUGAUCUUC